GACGAACGCUGGCGGCGUGCUUAACACAUGCAAGUCGUACGGUAAGGCCCUUUCGGGGGUACACGAGUGGCGAACGGGUGAGUAACACGUGAGUAACCUGCCCACAACUUUGGGAUAACGCUAGGAAACUGGUGCUAAUACUGGAUAUGUGCUCCUGCUGCAUGGUGGGGGUUGGAAAGCUCCGGCGGUUGUGGAUGGACUCGCGGCCUAUCAGCUUGUUGGUGGGGUAGUGGCCUACCAAGGCGGCGACGGGUAGCCGGCCUGAGAGGGUGACCGGCCACAUUGGGACUGAGAUACGGCCCAGACUCCGACGGGAGGCAGCAGUGGGGAAUAUUGCACAAUGGGCGCAAGCCUGAUGCAGCAACGCCGCGGGCGGGAUGACGGCCUUCGGGUUGUAAACCGCGUUCAGCAGGGACGAAGCUUUUUGUGACGGUACCUGCAGAAGAAGCACCGGCUAACUACGUG
rnacentral:rRNA from 1 species